rnacentral:rRNA from 1 species
CCCUUAGAUGUUCUGGGCCGCACGCGCGCUACACUGACGAAUGCAACGAGCUUAUAACCUUGGCCGAAAGGUCUGGGUAAUCUCCAAAUUUCGUCGUGAUGGGGAUAGAUUAUUGCAAUUAUUAAUCUUCAACGAGGAAUGCCUAGUAAGCGCAAGUCAUCAACUUGCAUUGAUUACGUCCCUGCCCUUUGUACACACCGCCCGUCGCACCUACCGAUUGAAUGGUCCGGUGAAGCCUCCGGAUUGGCGCGCACCUCGGUGCCGCCGAGAAGUUGGCUAAACCUUACCAUUUAGAGGAAGGUGAAGUCGUANCA